AACGAACGCUGGCGGCAUGCCUAACACAUGCAAGUCGAACGAGACCUUCGGGUCUAGUGGCGCACGGGUGCGUAACGCGUGGGAACCUGCCCUUAGGUUCGGAAUAACUCCCCGAAAGGGGUGCUAAUACCGGAUAAUGUCUUCGGACCUAAGAUUUAUCGCCUUUGGAUGGGCCCGCGUUGGAUUAGCUAGUUGGUAGGGUAAAAGCCUACCAAGGCGACGAUCCAUAGCUGGUCUGAGAGGAUGCUCAGCCACACUGGGACUGAGACACGGCCCAGACUCCGACGGGAGGCUGCAGUGGGUAGUAUUGUACGAGGAGCGAAAGCCUAGUACAGCCGUGCCGCGUGAGUGGUGAAUGCCGUAGGGUUGUAAAGCUCUUUUACCCGAGAUGAUAGUGACAGUACCGGGAGAAUAAGCACCGGCUAACUCCGUG
rnacentral:rRNA from 1 species